UGCGCCGGCUGCCGCAACUCUUCUUCUCUGUGGGCCGCAACUCUUCCUCUCUGUGGGUGUUCCUGGAAUCCCUCUUCUAGUCUGCGGGGAGAGCAAAAUGGAAAGGAAUAGAGAAUACCCUUCAAUCCUCACCUUGAUCAGCUCCUCAUUGCCUAGGCACUGCUGGGACAAGCCUCAACUAUAGAUGUAGAGAAAAGCUCUGCUCUUGAGAAUCUCUUAGGAAUACAACCUGCCAAAUGGACUAUAGGAGAGACAGCAUCUUCCCACAACAGCAGGAGGGGACUGACUCUAUACACCUGGCUCUUGGGAGACUUCACAUUGGAGGGGAACUGGAUCUGGGUCUUAAGAAAGAAUUCCAGAUCCAGCCAUAUCCUGACUGCUAUAAGAAACAACCAGAUCCAGCUAUAUCCUGACUGCUAUAAGAAACAACCUGUGUUAACAAGGUCCCAUAGUAGCUACGUUUUAUGGAGAGGGUUAAAAAAAAAAAAAAAAGAAGAAUUUCGGUGGGCUGGCAAACUACAGCCUACCAGUUGGAUGGCCCUGUGGCCUGUUUUUGUAAAGUUUUAUUGGAACACAGCCACACUCACUUAUUACACAUCUAUGGAUGUUUUUGUGUUAUAACAGCAGAGUUGAAUAAAUGCAACAGAGAACAUAUGGUCUGUAAAGUCUAAAAUAUUUACUAUUAAUCCUUUACAGAAAAACUGCGCAUCCUUGUUCUAUACCCCAACAUUCAUCAUAAAGUGCCAAAGCCCUAGAUUUCAGACCCUCAAUCAUAGCUGGUCACUAGGUGAUUUCCCAUUUGUUCAACAAAUAUUUACUGAGAUUUCUUAUUUCUAACUAAAUCUUCAUUCAAUUUUCUCAUCUGUAACAUGGUAUAUAAUAGUAUCUACUUCACAGAGUUUUUGUAAGGAUUAUACAAAGUCUUUAACACAAUGCCUGACACAAAAUUUGAAAAAUGAUAGUUGCUAGCAGCAGCAGCAGCAGCAGCACCACCACCACCACCGUCAUCAUCAUCCUUUCCUGAUGUCCUAGGAAGAGAAGGCUCUCUCUGAUGACCACCUAAGUGAAAGGAGAGAACUCUAGCAUCCCUGAGGCUUGACUUCACACUUAGGAAAAAAGCUUUAUUUUGACUGCACUCAGACUGCAACCAUAAGUACAUAGGGAAUAGUCUUUUGAUAUGAAUGGCAGUUUACUCCACAGUCCUCUGACACCAGAGAUAUCAAGAACUCAAUACCCUUCCCAGAGUUCAUGAGGAAGACAAAUAUGACUGAAUUUAUAAAUACUUCUCUUUAGAACUUCAAGCUUGCUUGCAGCCCCAAACUCAAGCAACAACAUUAAAAGACAAUGUGAAAUUAAAUGAUUCCACGGACAAAUCACUACCCCCAUAUCAACUAUUUGCCCAAAUUUGGUAACAAAUAGUUUUUAAAAAGCCUAACAGCCUGACAUGUUUAUGUAUUUUUUUUUUUCUAAUUAAAUCCAACAAGUAAAUGAUGGGUGUCUAUUUUUCUCUUUUAUAGUGUUGGUCAUGUCUCUUUAACUUGUAGAGGAGGCAUCUAAGGAAAUAAGUAUGCUUUACGCUCUUUUGGGGGCCUUUCAAAAUUCUGGUGAAAAAAAGAUGAUUUAAAAUCAAGUGUCAAA